rnacentral:rRNA from 1 species
UACGUAGGUGGCAAGCGUUGUCCGAAUUUAUUGGGCGUAAAGCGCGCGCAGGCGGCCAAAUAAGUCUGAUGUGAAAGCCCACGGCUCAACCGUGGUAGGUCAUUGGAAACUGUUUGGCUUGAGUACAGAAGAGAAGAGUGGAAUUCCACGUGUAGCGGUGAAAUGCGUAGAGAUGUGGAGGAACACCAGUGGCGAAGGCGACUCUUUGGUCUGUAACUGACGCUGAGGCGCGAAAGCGUGGGGAGCAAACAGG